CCUUCGUGACUACACGAGAGAGAGACUUUUCUUCACCAACUUUUCCCUUUUAUCUUUCUCUGAAUCUUCUCUGCGAACUUUCUUCAUCGUUUCAAGGCUCGUGUCAGUAUUAAUCUCAAUUCUAAUCAAUCGAUUCACCUUCUAGGUUAGUGGAUUUUGCGUGGGUUGAUCUUGUUACGCUAUUUUAGCCUCUGCCUUGUUUUCACUUAUUUUUGAUUUGAAAUUUCUUCUGCUGAUGUUCACUGCUCCUGCUACUGUUUAUUCUUGCGGGAUUUUUUUCUCGUUUUCAACUAUGGUCAAUAAACCCGCUUCGGAUACUAAGGGAUUUCCAGGUGGUAAGAAAAUUGUAGUUAGGGUUCCUCAAACAUAUUCAUUUGUUUCGAUGGGCCAGAAGGAUAAGGGCCUUCGUAAGAGGAAAUCUUCACACGAUAAAAGAGGUGACGAGGGCAAUGGUGCUCGCGCUAAGCAUAAAGUCAAGAAAUCUUGUCGUAGCGCAAAAGUUGAUACGAAUUUUCAAUUCCCCGCGACUGGGGUUCUUUUCCCUUAUGAUGUUCUAUUUCCUCAGUCUUCAGUUGUUCCUUCAACUAUUUGUUCAUCGCCCAUAGUCUUUUCUACCAACAUCGCUUCAACUGUUGACCACGGAAAAAUUUCUUGCUUACUCUCUCGGACUAUUCGAAAAUAGACCUUUCUUGCAACUCUCGCUCUUAUUCUUCUCUCGUUUCAAGGGAACUUCCUUUUAUUAUUCCUUUUGAUGCUGGUGUCUUCCGAAAUUGAUGAUUUUGGGAUCGAGUCACUUCUGAAGAUCCAUAACUUUGGCUUAGCGUACGAUCCUUAUCUUUCCUAAAUUUUGGUUUUCGUUUGAAGUUAAGCUGCAAUUCUUCGCCUAAUGAAUGAACCAAGCGCAAAAUUUCUACUGCCCUAGAUCGGAGGAUUCAUAUCUCCCUUGAUCGUUUGGAGUCUCGUCGCCGCAUAAUUGAAAUGGAGGAUUUUUAUGAACUUGGUCGCAUUAUCAAGGAUAUUAAUGAUUAAGCACAAGCGAGUAGCUAGGAUUUGAGCUAGUGAUAGGAAGAUUAUUCUUCAAUCGAUAGUAGCAGAAGUUAUGGUAUGACCUGGGAAAGAAAAGUGGAACACCACGCAAGAGUCUUUCAUAGCAAUCCGAAAGGAUGGUGGUUGGCUUUCCAUCACCAACAACUUGAGUCAAACUCCUUAAAAACCUCUCCCAUAUAUUUUUGCUAUUAUCGGAAUCAAAUAGUGCCAUAUCACGUGGGAAAAAUCCUACAAAUGUGUAGAAAUGAAUAGAUGUGUAACCAAGAGUUAUACACCAAGGAAACCCAUGUGUAACUGAUAUUUAAAUAUGUGUAACUCCCAGUUAUUUGUCAGUUAUAAUAGUUCAGAAAAGUAACUUACCUUUAUCACCAUGGAUCUUAGUAGCUGCUAUCAAGCAACCUCCGAAUCUACCAGUAGGGAAAGUAGCAUCCAAGUAUAUC